CGGUGAAACCCCGUCUGGACUAAAAAUACAAAAACCCGAGACCCAAGAGUCAGCUCUCCGGAACCCAGUGGAAGGACCUCAGGACAGUGAUUUCAACGGAGAGGGGCUGAUCGUAUCAGAAAGCCAACUAAUCCCGCGGCGGUGCAGAGACCACGCAGGAAGGACACUGGAAGUCUGAUUGCCCCACCCUGGGAACGGGUGCCACGUCCCAACGUGACCCCCUUUCCCAGGAUCCUGGGAGCUCCUUCCAGCUCCUACAUUUGGACGACAACAGCUGAGGGUGCCAAGACUCGGGGACCCCCAACACCCUCGCCGAGCCGCGGGUAACUCUCCUGGUAGCGGAUCAAAUUUCUUCAAGCCAAGAUUCAAGGAACCGAAUUCUGUCACCUUCAACCAAAUGCUUCUUCAUCCGUACGUCCAAACACCAACCAUAGGCCCCCGACCUUAAUGACGCCCCUUAACAGCAGGAAGUAGCCAGACAGAUUACGGCACCUCUUUAUCACUAUUACCAAUAAAAGGUUGGACUGUUUGGACGAAUGGAGGCAAGAUGGCGCAUUUCCGGGUUCUUCAUCACCAACUUUGCCCGUGUGCGCGAAGAUGCAGCUGGCGCCCGGGAAGGUGCAAACCAACCAGGCAUGCGCCAGGUGAUGUCAAUCCAAAGAGACCAAGAUUUACCUGGUGGCACCUGCAGAGCCUUCCCCCCCACCCCCGACAUGUCCGUGCCCCGCCUAUUGCCCUUCCACUCCUAGAAAAGCCGCUCUCAGCGGGCGCGCUGGGGUGGGCUUUCUCAGCCCUCACUCUUUUCGGGACUGCAUUAGGAACUUUGCCCCAGAGCUCUACCGGGUGACUCUC